CCUCUUUACAGUACAACCCGGAGAACAUUUGGUUUCGGAAAAGUCGCUAUACUUGAUAAUUGGAGUAAACAUAGUAAUAAACGUCUUUGUAUAGCCAAUAGAUUCUUCGCUGAACUCUGAGUGUAAAAAAAACACGAAGCUGAUGAAGAACGUGUUACUUUACGUGAGACAUCGGUGGACCAGGAAGAAAAAUGUCUCGAAUAUUCUCGGAUCGAUUACAACGGGUACGGGGGCAAAUAUUUUGCGAUCCGACACGAC